UACGGAGGGCGCGAGCGUUAAUCGGAAUUACUGGGCGUAAAGCGCGCGUAGGCUGUUGUGUAAGUUGGGGGUGAAAUCCCACGGCUCAACCGUGGGACAGCCCUUGAUACUGCGCGACUUGAAUCCGGGAGAGGGUGGCGGAAUUCCAGGUGUAGGAGUGAAAUCCGUAGAUAUCUGGAGGAACAUCAGUGGCGAAGGCGGCCACCUGGACCGGUAUUGACGCUGAGGCGCGAAAGCGUGGGGAGCAAACAGG
rnacentral:rRNA from 1 species